UGACACUUUAUUUCUUGUUAAGGGUGACAGCCUGCAAGGUAGCCAUCCAGCAGCCUGGGAAGAGCAGCCUCUGGUUAACACCAGAGACAGACAUUUAGGAGCAGGAGGGGUUUGGGCAGGAGCUUUAUGCUGAAGAGGUUGGCUAAACAUACAUAUUCAACAGGCUACAGGAGGAGCUAUGAAUAUUCAUGUAGGUGGUUGCAGUCCAUGCUUAUUGAACAAACAUGUGUGGAACAUAUGAUCCCAGCCGGGCAUAGUGGCUGAUGCCUGUAAUCCCAGCACUUGGAGAGGCUGAGACAGGCGGAUCACCUGAGGUCAGGAGUUCGAGACCAGUCUGGCCAACAUGGUGAGACCCCAUCUCUACUAAAACUACAAAAUUAACCAGGUGUGGUGAUGCAUGCCUUUUACUCGGGAGGCUGAAGCAGAAGAAUCGCUUAAACUCGGGAGGCGGAGGUUGCAGUGAGUCCAGAUUGUGCCAUUGCAUUCCAGCCUGGACAAGAGGAGCAACACUCUGUCUCAAAAAAAAAAAAAAAAAAAAAAAAGAUGAUAUUUGGAGGCAGAGAGAUCCCAGAGGUGCGUGUGCAUAGAGGAAAGGCCACAGAGGACACGGCUGGAAGAGACUCCCUGCCAGCCAGAAGGAGCGGCCUCAGAGGAAACAACCCCACCCACCCCUCGAAGUUGGACCUGCAGCUUCCAGAUCUGUGAGAAAAUAAAUGCCUGCCAUGUGGGCACCUGGCCUGGGACAUCUUCUAUGGAGGCCACAGCAUGAAAGGGUCAUUUUUAUGGAGAAUCUCAUUCUCUAAAACUUACAUCUGCUUUGAAAAUGUCAAAUCAAAUUUAAAGUGUUUAGAAGAGCCUCUAAAUUUCAUAUUUCAUUUGCAAAGAAAGAAUUGUAAUUUGAGACAUACACGGAGUCCGGAUGGUGUUCACCAUGUUGAGAGAGCAAAGAGAUGGCAAUUAUAGAAGGAGAAAUGUUCUCUUGCCCUAUGUAAAGCCCAUGGGCACUAGGAAGGGCUGGGAGCUGGGAGGUUCUAUUGCUGAGUCGCUGCGUUUGGAGCAAGGAGUCCAAGACUUACAGCCAUUUAUCGCAGAAGCUAUGGAUAAAGCUGGUUUCAGGGUACAAUGCACAGUCUCAGGAGUCAGGCUUGCAGAGAAGUCCAUUUCGGAAACAAUGUUGUGUGGCCUGACUGCUUUUCCUCCCUGGCUCCUGGCCUCUGUUUUAGCUGGGUAGGACAUGAAUGACCCAAUUCAUAGGAUGAAAUUUACAAAGGAUGUUUCUCAAAACUUCGGGUUUUCAACUUACAUAUAUUCACACCUGUUUAGGUUGAGUUUAUUUAUCGAUUUAUUUUCAGGCAGGGUCUCUAUCUGUUGCCCAGACCCGAGUUCAGUGGCGCGAUCUCUGUUCACUCCAGCCUCCACCUCUCGGGCUCAAGUAAUCCUCCCACUUCAGCCUCCCAAGUAGCUUGGACUACAGAUGCAUGCCACCACAUCUGGCUUUUUUUUUUUUUUUUUUUU
rnacentral:lncRNA from 10 species